rnacentral:lncRNA from 1 species
CGAAAGGGACAAACAUCUGUGGGAUAGUCCAGUCGAAUAGGCAUCUCCCAUGAUGAUGGCUGUAUUGAGGGAACUCACUCUUUUAAGAGGAGGAUAAUCGCAAGGAGUUUCUUCCUCAGAGGUUGACGAUUCUGGAAUCUAAGCUCUUUAUAAUAUUUUCAACUAAACAAGUCGUUUCUUCCAAUUCCUCCAAAUAGUACUCGCCCGCUCCAACUUUUGUGAAGUAAUGUACCAAGCCAAACUGAAAAGACAACAUACAUUGGUAUGUUUUACCUAGUUAGGGCAGCAAAACGUGGAAUGUUUAUUUUAUCAUUACUAUGAAAAGGUUUAGUGAUUAUUUUUUGAUAUUCUUUUUCCGCUGUCCUUUUUACAUAAACAAACUAUACUAAUAAUUUAGUCAUUUCUCCAUCAUGAGCGAGUAACAAGAAAAACGGCAGCGCUUCUCAGAUCUCCUAGAUGCUGGAUUUGAUAUAAUGAAGAUUACGGACAUUGUUAAUUGUUCUAGGAGCCUGGUUUUUAAGUUUGCCAAGAUGAAAAAAAAAUGGAGAAGACUUCUCUAGGAUGUCAGGAAGUGGAGUGCAUAAUUUAAAUAGGGAAAUGAAUUUCUUGUUAAUUUUGGAUAAGAAUAUAAAGGAGGAUCCCAAUAAGUAGAUAAAUGACCUCGCCAACGACUUCUUUGUGGCUCCUACGACCAUCAGGAGGGCUAUAGAGCACAAUAUGGGAUUAGUUUCUUUCACAAGGACCCAACGCUACCUUCUGACAGAGGGCAUGAAAGCCAGGAGGCUCCAGAGGUGCAAGAAAAUCCUCACAUAGAUUAAGGUAAAUGGGUCAAUUGUAAAGAUUUUCUCGGAGAAGAAGAUUUUUAGUUUUUUGUGAACAG